CACGUAGGGCGCAAGCGUUGUCCGGAAUUAUUGGGCGUAAAGAGCUCGUAGGCGGUCUGUUGCGUCCGCUGUGAAAACUCGGGGCUUAACCCCGAGCCUGCAGUCGAUACGGGCAGACUAGAGUUCGGUAGGGGGAGACUGGAAUUCCUGGUGUAGCGGUGAAAUGCGCAGAUAUCUGGAGGAAUACCGGUGGCGAAGGCGGCAUCCUGGACCGACAUUGACGCUGAUGAGCGAAAGCUAGGGGAGCAAACGGGG
rnacentral:rRNA from 1 species